rnacentral:rRNA from 1 species
AGCGAACGCUGGCGGCAGGCCUAACACAUGCAAGUCGAACGAACCUUUCGGGGUUAGUGGCGGACGGGUGAGUAACACGUGGGAACGUGCCUUUAGGUUCGGAAUAACUCAGGGAAACUUGUGCUAAUACCGAAUGUGCCCUUCGGGGGAAAGAUUUAUCGCUUUUAGAGCGGCCCGCGUCUGAUUAGCUAGUUGGUUGAGGUAAUGGCUCACCAAGGCGACGAUCAGUAGCUGGUCUGAGAGGAUGAUCAGCCACAUUGGGACUGAGACACGGCCCAAACUCCUACGGGAGGCAGCAGUGGGGAAUCUUGCGCAAUGGGCGAAAGCCUGACGCAGCCAUGCCGCGUGAAUGAUGAAGGUCUUAGGAUUGUAAAAUUCUUUCACCGGGGACGAUAAUGACGGUACCCGGAGAAGAAGCCCCGGCUAACUUCGUG